AUUGAACGCUGGCGGCAUGCCUUACACAUGCAAGUCGAACGGUAGCAUGUCCUUCGGGAUGAUGUCGAGUGGCGAACGGGUGAGUAAUAUGUAGGAAUAUACCUAUAGGUGGGGGAUAACUACUCGAAAGAGUAGCUAAUACCGCAUAAUAUCUACGGAUUAAAGCAGGGGAUCGCAAGACCUUGUGCCAAUAGAAUAGCCUACAUCCGAUUAGCUAGUUGGUAGAGUAAAAGCCUACCAAGGCAACGAUCGGUAGCUGGUCUGAGAGGAUGAUCAGCCACACUGGGACUGAGACACGGCCCAGACUCCUACGGGAGGCAGCAGUGGGGAAUAUUGGACAAUGGGCGCAAGCCUGAUCCAGCCAUGCCGCGUGAGUGAUGAAGGCCUUAGGGUUGUAAAGCUCUUUCAGUGGGGAAGAUAAUGACGGUACCCACAGAAGAAGCCCCGGCUAACUUCGUGCCAGCCGCCGCAGUAAGAC
rnacentral:rRNA from 1 species